GACGAACGCUGGCGGCGUGCUUAACACAUGCAAGUCGAACGGAAAGGCCUCUUCGGAGGUACUCGAGUGGCGAACGGGUGAGUAACACGUGGGCAAUCUGCCCUGCACUUCGGGAUAAGCCUGGGAAACUGGGUCUAAUACCGGAUAGGACCUCAAGACGCAUGUCUUCUGGUGGAAAGCUUUUGCGGUGUGGGAUGGGCCCGCGGCCUAUCAGCUUGUUGGUGGGGUGACGGCCUACCAAGGCGACGACGGGUAGCCGGCCUGGGGGGGUGUCCGGCGAGACUGGGUAGGAGAGACACCCCAGAGUGCUGCUGGAGGCAGCAGUGUGGAGGAUUGCAGAAUGGUCGCAAGCCGGGUGCAUCGACGCCGCGUGGGUGAUGACGGCCUUCAGGUUGUAAACCUCUGUCACCAUCGACGAAGGGCCGGGUUUGCUCGGAUUGACGGUAGGUGGAGAAGAAGCACCGGCCAACUACGUGCGAGCCGCCGCCGUAA
rnacentral:rRNA from 1 species